UAAAGAGCAUCAAAACAUCUUUUUUAGUGUCGGUAAGAUCUAUAGCAAUAUUCCCUUUCAUGUUUCUCAUACUGAUAGUUUGGGCUUUAAUUUUUUUUUUUCUUCAUUAGUCUUGCCGGGAAUUUAGCAAUUUUAUUAUUCAAGAACCCAAGUUUGUCAUUGUUGAUCAUCUCUGUUAUACAUUAUAUCAGUCCUUUUACCUCUUUUUUUCUUUUUGUGCAGCAUACAAAAACCACUUUAUUAUGAUCACUGAUUAUAUGGGUCACGAAUUCACACAGGGCACAGUGGGGAUGGCUUCUCUGUUGCCAAGUCUGGAGCAUCACUGGGAAGACUCAAAGGCUGAGGCUGAACAAUUUGAAGAUAACUUCCAGCUGACCUCCCACCAUGCUGUUCCAAGGAACAAAGCUUCCUGAAAGGAUGCAGGAUGAAGGAUUGUGCCUGGACUGCUAACCCCACAGUUGACAACCUCUGUGGUGUUCCCGUUUCUUGAAACCGCUUUUUCUGUCCUUUAGUUUUUGUUUGUUAAUUUUGACCUUCAUUAGAAAGGUUAGUACACUUCAUCGGGAUACUUCGUGCUGAAAGUUAUGUCCAAAGGACUAUAUUUCUUAGUGAAAAUGUCUUAAGAGAUCACGGUUAGUAUUUGUAGCAGAGCUGGAUCAAAAUUAACAUAUUACAACAGCUUGUGUCAGCCUGGGUUGCAAACUUUCCACAAGAAAGGGUAGGCCGAAAGGUCAUACUCAUCAGCUCAUACCACAGAGAAUUGCAGAAUCCUAAAAGAUGAUUUCUUCCCUUUGCACAUAAAAGUCACCGACUCCUCUCGCUCCAGCCACCAGACACCAUCCCCCCCCCCCCCCCCCCGCUCCUGACCAUGCACAGGACUUUCAUACACACCACUUGUCCCACAGUCCCCAGCUAGUUUCUAUCCCCUCUGUCUCUGUGAAUCUGAUUUCCUUGGGUCACUUUCUAGCUUGAUUAAAUACGUGUUACAUUGUUCCACCUUUUUUGUUGUCUGUAUGAUGGAAAUGCAUAUUUAAACCAUUAGGGAGCCACUAGCCCAGACCUCAGCAAUGACCGCAGUUAAUAACAGAGUUCUCACUCACAAUGUCAUGUGGGAUCUUUGCCUAUGGCACGAUUUGCUAGCCAUGAAAACCUCUUUAGCACCUCCCUCCGUUAUGCAAAUACCCCAGAAAAAACACUUCCCUAUUUCAGCCACUGAAUUGCAGGCUGCGGUCCCAGGCUGCACACCCCAGCCUGCAGCGCAUGGGUGGGAUUGCCAGAGUGUAACGGGACACAGGUUUCUGCGCAGACAGAUGCUCAGUGGAUUCUGUACUCAGCUAGAAGAAGGCUGAGCCUUGCUUGGCUGCCCAGUCAGUAUGAUGUCCAAAUGACAGGUUAUUUUCUGUUCCUUGUCUGCCAGUGUUGGCUUUAUCAAGCCUGAGGCUGGUAAAUGAAAGAUGCCCUCACUUUACCACUAGUGCUGCUGCACUAAUUCUUCCAGGUCACAAUCCAGAGCCUCUGAGAGCCAAGCUGUGUCCUCAGAGAACAACAGAUGAGGAGAAAUUGAAGCCUCCAGUCCCGGGCCUGGGCUUUUUCCUUUCUCUACUGGCUCCAGCAUCUGCACCAGAGAGCACAGCAGUGUCUUCAGUUCUACAAGACCGCUGUCUAACAGGUGCAGCAACUGGGAAACAUUCCAAUCUCCAGGGAUCUCAGGGGGUCUGAGUUUCAGGUCACCAGACUUAACGUUUGCUUAGCCUACCCCCCUGACUUUGCAAGAGGCUAUCUUUUUCACUGAGGGGGGUCCCAUCCUUUCUAUACCCUUUGUCCCAAACCACCACCAAUUCAUAUUACAUCCUGAACCUCUAAAUCAAUCCGUCUCUCUCUCUGUCUCUGUCUCCUUCUCUCUCUCCUUCUCUUUCUCUCUCCCUCUUUAUAAAGCAUGCUGUCUUUCAAUUAACAUAGUGAUGACCUAUUGUCACCCGUUACCAUGCUAAUCCAGAGCUGGUGUGAAAUUACUUUAUAAUAAACACUAUGGAGUUCUGACUUCCAAUUAAUUUUUCACAUGCUGCGCUAAAUCAGAUUAACUCUCUCCCUGUACCAUCACUUUUGACCACAGACGUAAUUCUUUCCUUAUAAUGAAAUAGAGGAUUAAUUUAUAUGAAGCAUAUCUGUACACAUUUGCAAAUAAAUGUAAAGAUAGAUUUUAUGCCAUAUUUGCAUCGUGCACAGUGCUGCAGUAGUGCAGACUCUCUGAGAUUACUUUCUUGUGUUCCCUGGGUGGGCAGAGAUCUUUCCAGUUGUUGUCGUUCCUCUGUUAAAUUCUAACUAAAUGCCUCCGUGAAGAAUAAGCAAAGAAAUGCUCACAUGUGCCAUGGUGCUGAGAGAGUGGUGACUCCUCCCGUAAAUCGUACAAUACCGCAUUAGGAGUAGCUGAAGGAAAAUGUAAACACUCUGAAAUGGAAACAAUAAUCAUUAACUACUAAAUUGAUUGGUGCUCUCCCUGGAUGUGCACAUUCACAUUCAUCCUGAGUGAGUGGAGGGAGGGUAGCUUUUUAAAUGACCAUUAAACUGAAGGAAUUUGAUGACAAUUUCAAGCAAAUGAUAGCUUAUGCCUUUUUAAAACUAAUAUAGCCCCUGCACUAAAUUAUAUUUUUGACGAAAUAAUUAUUUUCAUCUUUGAAACUCAUUAUUAGAAUGGAGUAUUGGAAGAUGAAUGCAGGCGCACACUAAAUGAACAAAUUUGUGUGAAAAAAAUUAAUCAUACUCCCCAGAUGCUGGACUGUGUUUUUUUUUCUUCUGUCAGUCUCCAGUGUAUUGCAUUCAGCUUCUUCUAUUACUACAGAAUAUUGAUAGAAAAAUUUCCCCAACGCGUAUUUUCUUUUUGACACCAAACGAGAAAAACUGCCAGAAGCACUAAAGGUGUGGCCCGUACAAAAGACGAAUGUGUGCUUAUCAAAUCCUCUUAAGCCAAUCUCUUCUUAACAGUAGAGGAAAUAAAAUCUUGUUGAGUGUUGCAAGGAUGAAAAUACUUACAGCUGAGUUAUUUUAAAACAGACCGAGCAAAUUAUGCUUGGCAAACACUGCAAACGUAUUCAUUCAUUCAACCGGUAUGGAUUUGAUCCCGGCUAUGUGAUAACCACUACUUGAAGUACAACUGAUAAAACAACCAACAAGCCAAAUUCCCUGCCUUCAUGGAGAUCCCCAUCUGAGGGUAUGCAAACUUGAAAUUAUAAAAACAGUCAAUCAUCAUCUCGUGAUCACUGACUGAGCUCUUACUAUAUGCUCUCCACUGUGCCACAUGCCUUCCUAUUAUAUAUUUCAAUUAUCAUGAUUGAUACUUUCCUCUAGAUUAUUAUCGAACACAUUUUAUAGAUGAAUAACUAAAGCUUAGAAGUAGUUCAUCCUAACUUUACAGAUAUACCGUGGUAAAACUAGAAUUCCAAACAAAGGUUUUGAACUAAAAUCCCUGUGCUAUACUGUUUCUGACAUCCAUUGUCCCCAAAACAUGUAUCAUUAUCUUGGGUUUAUUGAAAGUUUAUUUUUUGUUCUAUGGUGGGUAAAAAAAUAGAGGCAAUAGGCACAAUUCCCCACCUAAGGAGAUUUCCAGUCUACUGGGAGAAAAUUAUACAUUCAUGAAACAACUAUUCUUAACAUAGUUAAGUCAAACAUUCUUUGAGGUAGGUAAGUUUAUAGUCCAUAUACAUGAAGUGUGCAUGUCGAUGGGGGAAAGGGGCAUGAUUAUUUGCUGACAUUUAUCUCUAUUUGAAUAGCAUAUUCAACUUCUAUGAUUUUACUCAUUGUACAAUGCAUUAUUAAUUUAACCAAUGAUUUUA